ensembl:snRNA U6 U6 spliceosomal RNA
GUGCUCGCUUCAGCAGCACAUAUACUAAAAUUGGAAUGAUACAGAGAAGAUUAGCAUGGCCCCUGUGCAAGGAUGACAUGCAAAUUCAUCAUGGAGAAGAACCAAUAUGUU